rnacentral:miRNA from 1 species
AUACAAAUCAUCUGAGAAUCUUGUUAAAAUGUAGAUUCUGGAUUAAUAGAUCUGGUGGGAAUGAGGGACCUGAAAUUCUGCAUUUCUAACAAGUUGCCAGAAAAUUCCAAC